AGCAGCCGCGGUAAUUCCAGCUCCAAUAGCGUAUAUUAAAGUUGUUGCAGUUAAAAAGCUCGUAGUUGAAUUUCGGGAUCAAUUAAUUGGUCGUGCCUCUGGUACGUACUGAUUUUAUUGGUUUCUCCCUUCUGACGAACCAUGAUGUCAUUAAUUUGGUGUCGUGGAGAAUCAGGACUGUUACUUUGAAAAAUUAGAGUGUUUAAAGCAAGCUAACGCUUGAAUACAUUAGCAUGGAAUAAUGAAAUAGGACGUUUGAUCCUAUUUUGUUGGUUUCUAGGAUCGACGUAAUGAUUAAUAGGGAUAGUUGGGGGCAUUAGUAUUCAAUUGUCAGAGGUGAAAUUCUUGGAUUUAUUGAAGACUAACUACUGCGAAAGCAUUUGCCAAGGAUGUUUUCAUUAAUCAAGAACGAAAGUUAGGGGAUCGAAGACGAUCAGAUACCGUCGUAGUCUUAACCAUAAACUAUGCCGACUAGGGAUCGGAUGAUGUUAAUUUUUAAUGUACUCAUUCGGCGUACCCG
rnacentral:rRNA from 1 species